CCUCGACUCUCUAUUUUCAGGAUCUCUUGGCCACUUUAGAAACAGAAAAGGAAAGACGAUGGCAAGCAGAACAGGCAGCUCGUAAAAUGGCGGAACUUCUCAAGAAAGCGCAAGCCAGAGGUCAAGAGAGUGAAGCAAUGAAGAGCUCCGCCAUUGAGGCCACGUCCCAGUUGAAGCAGGCCGUGAUGAACGAGCAUGAGGCCAAUGUUGUUUUGAAGGAAGAGAUCUUCGCCUUGCAGCUUGUAUCUCUACAACUUGUAUCACUACAACUUGUAUCAAGUCAAAACCAAUAAAUAUGCCGAGUAGAGAAGAAAAGUAACGUUGAUGUUUUCUUAUUUUGUAAAUUAUUGACGUCGAUAAAAAAAAAAGCUAAUUACUUGUAUCCAUUAUUUAACAUAGUCGGACUUAGAAGUUGGUUUUCUUAUGUAUCAUUUUGUGUUCUAAAUCUG
rnacentral:sRNA from 1 species